rnacentral:rRNA from 1 species
UACGGAGGGAGCUAGCGUUGUUCGGAAUUACUGGGCGUAAAGCGCACGUAGGCGGCUUUGUAAGUUAGAGGUGAAAGCCUGGGGCUCAACCCCAGAAUUGCCUUUAAGACUGCAUCGCUUGAAUCCAGGAGAGGUGAGUGGAAUUCCGAGUGUAGAGGUGAAAUUCGUAGAUAUUCGGAAGAACACCAGUGGCGAAGGCGGCUACCUGGACCGGUUCUGACGCUGAGGCGCGAAAGCGUGGGUAGCAAACAGG